rnacentral:rRNA from 1 species
CAGUAGCCGCGGUAAUACGUAGGGGGCAAGCGUUAUCCGGAAUUAUUGGGCGUAAAGCGCGCGCAGGUGGUUUAAUAAGUCUGAUGUGAAAGCCCACGGCUCAACCGUGGAGGGUCAUUGGAAACUGUUAAACUUGAGUGCAGGAGAGAAAAGUGGAAUUCCUAGUGUAGCGGUGAAAUGCGUAGAGAUUAGGAGGAACACCAGUGGCGAAGGCGGCUUUUUGGCCUGUAACUGACACUGAGGCGCGAAAGCGUGGGGAGCAAACAGGAUUAGAUACCCCUGUAGUCCCUGUCUCUUAUAC